CAGCUAUGAUGAGUGAACAAACAUGACUUAGUAUUGCCACAAUAUGGUGACUCUGACCAAGGUCUGACUUGGUUUUAAACUUCUCUCUGAGCAA